rnacentral:rRNA from 1 species
GAUGAACGCUAGCGGCAGGCUUAAUACAUGCAAGUCGAGGGGUAGCAAGAUUGUAGCAAUACAAUUGUUGACGACCGGCAAACGGGUGCGGAACACGUACACAACCUUCCUACAAGUGGGGAAUAGCCCAGAGAAAUUUGGAUUAAUACCCCGUAACAUAGCGAUGUGGCAUCACAUUGCUAUUAUAGCUUCGGCGCUUGUUGAUGGGUGUGCGGCUGAUUAGAUAGUUGGCGGGGUAACGGCCCACCAAGUCUACGAUCAGUAGCUGAUGUGAGAGCAUGAUCAGCCACACGGGCACUGAGACACGGGCCCGACGCCUACGGGAGGCAGCAGGAAGGAAUAUUGGACAAUGGACGCAAGUCUGAUCCAGCCAUGCCGCGUGAAGGAUUAAGGUCCUCUGGAUUGUAAACUUCUUUUAUAAGGGACGAAAAAAGGUCUUUCUAGAUCGUCUGACGGUACCUUAUGAAUAAGCACCGGCUAACUCCGUGCCAGCAGCCGCAGUAAAAC